GAUGAACGCUGGCGGCGUGCCUAAUACAUGCAAGUCGAGCGAACAGACGAGGAGCUUGCUCCUCUGACGUUAGCGGCGGACGGGUGAGUAACACGUGGAUAACCUACCUAUAAGACUGGGAUAACUUCGGGAAACCGGAGCUAAUACCGGAUAAUAUAUUGAACCGCAUGGUUCAAUAGUGAAAGACGGUUUUGCUGUCACUUAUAGAUGGAUCCGCGCCGCAUUAGCUAGUUGGUAAGGUAACGGCUUACCAAGGCAACGAUGCGUAGCCGACCUGAGAGGGUGAUCGGCCACACUGGAACUGAGACACGGUCAAGACUCCUACGGGAGGCAGCAGUAGGGAAUCUUCCGCAACGGGCGAAAGCCUGACGGAGCAACGCCGCGUGAGUGAUGAAGGUCUUCGGAUCGUAAAACUCUGUUAUUAGGGAAGAACAAAUGUGUAAGUAACUAUGCACGUCUUGACGGUACCUAAUCAGAAAGCCACGGCUAACUACGUG
rnacentral:rRNA from 1 species